ensembl:snRNA U2 U2 spliceosomal RNA
AUCACUUCUCUUUCAAUUGUAGCAUCUGUUCUUUUUAAUCCAUACGAGGAUGUAUUAAAUUGUUUUUAGGACAGGGAGAUGAAAGAGGAGCUUGCUUUGUCCACGCAUCGACUUGGUAUUGCAGUACCUCCUGGAAUGGUGCACCUCCU